rnacentral:rRNA from 1 species
CCUACGGGUGGCAGCAGUCGAGAAUCAUUCACAAUGGGGGAAACCCUGAUGGUGCGACGCCGCGUGGGGGAAUGAAGGUCUUCGGAUUGUAAACCCCUGUCAUGUGGGAGCAAAUUAAAAAGAUAGUACCACAAGAGGAAGAGACGGCUAACUCUGUGCCAGCAGCCGCGGUAAUACAGAGGUCUCAAGCGUUGUUCGGAAUCACUGGGCGUAAGGCGUGCGUAGGCUGUUUCGUAAGUCGUGUGUGAAAGGCGCGGGCUCAACCCGCGGACGGCCCAUGAUACUGCGAGACUAGAGUAAUGGAGGGGGAACCGGAAUUCUCGGUGUAGCAGUGAAAUGCGUAGAUAGCGAGAGGAACACUCGUGGCGAAGGCGGGUUCCUGGACAUUAACUGACGCUGAGGCACGAAGGCCAGGGGAGCGAAAGGGAUUAGAUACCCGUGUAGUC